GAUGAAGAACGCAGCGAAAUGCGAUAAGUAGUGUGAAUUGCAGAAUUCCGUGAAUCAUCGAAUCUUUGAACGCACAUUGCGCCUUCUGGUAUUCCGGAAGGCAUGCCUGUUCGAGAGUCAUUAACAACCGUUUCGAUCCCUUUCUUUCAGAAAUUACAAAGAGGAAAAGGGUUUGGUUAUGGUGGAGGAGGGAAAGGGAGCGUUUAGCCUGUAAAAAAAGAGGCUGUGUUCCGCCUCCCCCCCAAAAUUGUACAGGCGGUGGUGUGCGCCCACGCAUCGAGGUGUUGUAAAAGCUGCCACGGCACUUUUCACCUGUGCAGUGCGAGAUUGGCCAGCCGGUUUAAAAACCCCUCCAAACAAUCAAAGGUUGACCUCGGAUCAGGUAGGGAUACCCGCUGAACUUAAGCAUAUCAAUAAGCGGAGGA
rnacentral:misc_RNA from 1 species